rnacentral:rRNA from 1 species
GACGAACGCUGGCGGCGUGCCUAACACAUGCAAGUCGAACGGAACUGUUUUGACAGAUUUCUUCGGAAUGAAUUUGAUUUAGUUUAGUGGCGGACGGGUGAGUAACGCGUGAGUAACCUGCCUUCAAGAGGGGAAUAACAUUCUGAAAAGAAUGCUAAUACCGCAUGACAUAUCGGAACCACAUGGUUUUGAUAUCAAAGAUUUUAUCGCUUGAAGAUGGACUCGCGUCCGAUUAGUUAGUUGGUGAGGUAACGGCUCACCAAGACCGCGAUCGGUAGCCGGACUGAGAGGUUGAACGGCCAAAUUGGGACUGAGACACGGCCCAGGCUCCUACGGGAAGGAGCAGUGGGGGAUAUUGCGCAAUGGGGGCAACCCUGACGCAGCAACGCCGCGUGAAGGAUGAAGGUUUUCGGAGUGUAAACUUCUUUUAUUAAGGACGAAAAAUGACGGUACUUAAUGAAUAAGCUCCGGCUAACUACGUG